CAGGCCUAACACAUGCAAGUCGAGCGGAAACGAAGAGAGCUUGCUCUCUGGCGUCGAGCGGCGGACGGGUGAGUAAAGCGCAGGAAUCUGCCCGGCAGAGGGGGAUAGCCCGGAGAAAUCCGGAUUAAUACCGCAUACGCCCUACGGGGGAAAGCAGGGGAUCUUCGGACCUUGCACUGUCGGAUGAGCCUGCGUCGGAUUAGCCAGCUGGUGGGGUAAAGGCCUACCAGGGCGACGAUCCGUAGCUGUUCUGAGAGGAAGAUCAGCCACACUGGGACUGAGACACGGCCCAGACUCCUGCGGGAGGCAGCAGUGGGGAAUAUUGGACAAUGGGCGCAAGCCUGAUCCAGCCAUGCCGCGUGUGUGAAGAAGGCUCUAGGGUUGUAAAGCACUUUCAGCGGGGAGGAAAGGAAGUCGGUUAAUACCCGGUUUCUGUGACGUUACCCGCAGAAGAAGCACCGGCUAACUCCGUGCCAGCAGCCGCGGUAAUACGGAGGGUGCGAGCGUUAAUCGGAAUGACUGGGCGUAAAGGGUGCGCAGGCGGCCUGCGAAGCCGGAUGUGAAAGCCCCGGGCUUAACCUGGGAACUGCAUACGGAACUGGCAGGCUUGAGUGCAGGAGAGGAGUGUGGAAUUUCCUGAGUAGCGGUGAAAUGCGUA
rnacentral:rRNA from 1 species